rnacentral:rRNA from 1 species
AGAACGAACGCUGGCGGCAGGCCUAACACAUGCAAGUCGAACGCCGUAGCAAUACGGAGUGGCAGACGGGUGAGUAACGCGUGGGAACGUACCUUUCGGUUCGGAAUAACCCGGGGAAACUCGGGCUAAUACUGGAUACGCCCGCAAGGGGAAAGAUUUAUCGCCGAAAGAUCGGCCCGCGUCGGAUUAGCUAGUUGGUGAGGUAACGGCCCACCAAGGCGACGAUCCGUAGCUGGUCUGAGAGGAUGAUCAGCCACACUGGGACUGAGACACGGCCCAGACUCCUACGGGAGGCAGCAGUGGGGAAUAUUGCGCAAUGGGCGAAAGCCUGACGCAGCGACGCCGCGUGUGGGAUGACGGCCUUCGGGUUGUAACCACUGUCGGGAGGGACGAAUGCGCCGCAAGGCGAGUGACGGUACCUCCAAAGGAGCACCGGCUAACUCCGUGCCAGCAGCCGC